AGCAUGAUGUACCAACUUCAUAUCUACUGGGCACGAAUAAACUUGAAUCACUUUGCCAGCUGGCUCUGUUAUAUAUAUAUAUAUAUAUAUAUAUAUAUACAUAUAUUAAAAAAAAAUAGCAGUUAAUAUAGUCAAAUGGCAAUAAUUAUGCCCAUUGUAGAGUGUGUGCUUCUUCGGGUGAGUUGGUUACUUGCACAAAUUCAAAAUAAGGAAACAAACAAAACACUCACAAAGACACACACACACAUAUAUAUAUAUAUAUAUAUAUGUAUAAUCUAAGGAUACUUGCAAAAACUUACAGCGUCUGGAGCCCACAUUAUCGUGGGAAAGGAACAGCUAUUCCUCAUGCCUAAAUCAGAAGACAACAAGGGACUUGAACACCUUGUUGGAUGAUCUGGAACAAACUGCUGCCACGUAAGAGAGGCUGAGCUAUGGAUCACGUUCAUCCAUAUCUUUGUGCUCAGUCUCUUCUAAUUAAAAAUAUUUUGUUUUCGUUUUUACGUGUGGUUUUAGUACAAGUUAAUGAAUCUCCACACGGCAUUCCAUAUUUACUCAACGAACCUACAUAUGGCCACAGCUGGCCUGGAUUCAUUUCCUACAGUUUAAUUCAACAUUUUCUCCCUUUUUCGAGUUUUUUCUACUUUCGGUUUUUUAGUCCACAGGUGAAUAGUCUUUCUGAACAACUCUCUGAGUUGCCAGUCUGAGAAACUGCACAUGGGUGACUCCAGGAGAUGAUUCCAACUCUUUUUCCUGCUUACUUUCGCAAUAUCCACUGUAAAACGCGAAGCUUCCAAAACCGCUGGCCCCUUUCACUCAAUAAUGUGCGCCUGUCAAAUUGCCGCCCUCUCCCUCGUCCACUCAA
rnacentral:lncRNA from 1 species